AUUCCAGCUCCAAUAGCGUAUAUUAAAGUUGUUGCAGUUAAAAAGCUCGUGGUUGGAUUUCCGGCGUGAGGGAUCAGUCUGACUUCUAGUCAGUACUUGGUCCUCUCAUGCCGUCCUUGAAUGGUGCAUCCUGGCAUUAAGUUGUCGGGGUGAGAGCCGUUCAUCGUUUACUUUGAAAAAAUUAGAGUGUUUAAAGCAGGCUUGUGCUAUGAAUACGUUAGCAUGGAAUAAUAAUUUAGGACUUUGGUCCUAUUUUGUUGGUUUCUAGGACCGAAGUAAUGAUUGAUAGGGAUAGUUGGGGGUGCUAGUAUUCAGCGGCCAGAGGUGAAAUUCUUGGAUUCGCUGAAGACUAACUUAUGCGAAAGCAUUCACCAAGGAUGUCUUCAUCA
rnacentral:rRNA from 1 species